rnacentral:rRNA from 1 species
GGCAAAAGCUCAAAUUUGAAAUCUGGUACCUUCGGUGCCCGAGUUGUAAUUUGGAGAGGGCAACUUUGGGGCCGUUCCUUGUCUAUGUUCCUUGGAACAGGACGUCAUAGAGGGUGAGAAUCCCGUGUGGCGAGGAGUGCGGUUCUUUGUAAAGUGCCUUCGAAGAGUCGAGUUGUUUGGGAAUGCAGCUCUAAGUGGGUGGUAAAUUCCAUCUAAAGCUAAAUAUUGGCGAGAGACCGAUAGCGAACAAGUACAGUGAUGGAAAGAUGAAAAGAACUUUGAAAAGAGAGUGAAAAAGUACGUGAAAUUGUUGAAAGGGAAGGGCAUUUGAUCAGACAUGGUGUUUUGUGCCCUCUGCUCCUUGUGGGUAGGGGAAUCUCGCAUUUCACUGGGCCAGCAUCAGUUUUGGUGGCAGGAUAAAUCCAUAGGAAUGUAGCUUGCCUCGGUAAGUAUUAUAGCCUGUGGGAAUACUGCCAGCUGGGACUGAGGACUGCGACGUAAGUCAAGGAUGCUGGCAUAAUGGUUAUAUGCCGCCCGUCUU